UGCGUAGGCGGACUAGUAAGUCAGUGGUGAAAUCUUUCGGCUCAACCGAGAAACUGCCAUUGAUACUGUUAGUCUUGAGUUCGGUAGAGGUAGGCGGAAUGUGUAAUGUAGCGGUGAAAUGCUUAGAUAUUACACAGAACACCAAUUGCGUAGGCAGCUUACUAUACCGACACUGACGCUGAGGCACGAACGCGUGGGGAGCGAACAGGAUUAGAUACCCUGGUAGUCC
rnacentral:rRNA from 1 species